GGGGUGGGAGGUUUCGGGGGGGGGGACGAAAGGGGACCAAAACAGGGGCGACGGGAAAGGGGCGAAGCCGAGAGGGUACGGAGUGUAUAAGUGCUCCGCCUGCAGAGACGAGAGAUGAAAGGCGCGCAAUGCGCUCGAGGACACAGAUACAUUUGCCGGCGAGAAUGCUGAAAAAUAAUGAAAAAAAAGUGACGCCGGGAUUGGGCGCGGGGAUAGGCAAAGGCGUACCGAUCGGACAAAUAUCUACAGAACUUUACGACCGAGGUACGGAGGUAUACGAAAUGUGAGUCAGAUUUGUGUUUUCCCGGUGCACCGACCUGGAAAAUCGCUGCUACUCUACUGCUAUCGGACACUAAUUAUGAGAUUUCGAGUGUAUCGAGUAGUGAGGGAUGCUUUCGAAGAAGGACGCGAUCGAUGAUCGAAAAACUGCAAUGUUAUCGUUAAAGAAAACAAGAAGUAAGAUCUUCAGAAAUGUUGAUAAAUGUAAGCUUUACAAAACGUAAACUUUACAGAAAAAUAUACCUUCUAAAGCUGUUAAUUUCAAACAUUUUGUCUUGAAGGGAUAUUUGAAUUGUAGAUAUAGGAAAGAAGAAUUGUUUUUAAUUGAAUUCAAUUAGAAGAAUUAAGUCUCCAAUUAUUGAAAAAUAAGGGAAUUUUAAAGCAAAUUAUCAACAAGAUGUCUCUGAAUUGGCUUUAUAGAGAGAGUUCCAAAUUCUUUUACGCAAUUGAAAUAUAAAAAGGAGAAGACAAAGCAAUUUCACAUUAAUAACAAAACUUUUUUUUUUAACUGUUCUCUCUGUAAAGCCAAUUAAAAAAUAUCGUCUGAUAAAAAAAAGUUGGUAAUUUGCUUAAGAAAGAUGAAAAGUAUACAUCUCUUUCUUUAAUUUAGACAUAUUUCUAGAGUCUACGAAUUGGACGAACAAUAAAUUCGUUGUCUCGUUUCAACCUGGCCGAUGCAAACUCUCUUUAUUCUCGGUCACCGCGCCGAAACGCGUAAAGAUCGCGAAUCCAAUACCAUUAGACCUCGUGCGGAACAUAUCCGCGCGCGGUGAACGCACGGGGCCAAAGUGCGACGGGCGAAUUAUGGGGAUGUACUCGUAGGGCGUCGGAUGUGCCAUGGGAUCACCAUAAGGCGGGAUAUUUCGUGAGGCCGUCUACGUGGCUGACGCCGCCGAUGCGACUGUAUGGGACGCUCGUUUCGCCCGCUGGGAAUUUCGGCGGAUCACCCGUUAUAUAUCCGGGGGGGUUAUCGGGCGAACGACUGGAAAAUAAUUUGCAGUUUCCCCCGCGCUCUCUCGUGGGGAAAAUGACCAGAGACGCGAGAAUAUACGUUCGCGCAAGCUGCCCUUUUCGGUUUCCCGAUGAUUCCUGUAAUUCCCUCCUGUUUGUUAUUUCUGUCUUACUACUAUCGCUGCCGAAUAAUACGCAAGGUUUCACAAAAAUGAAAGUCUUGUGGCCAAGACGCAAGAGCAAAACAAAAGAUAGUCCUGGCGUCUAGAAUUAUCUCUGCUUGGAAACAAGAGCACGUCUUCCGAGAUUCGACUAUCUACUAUUGUAACUGAGAAUAAUCAAAGCCAGAUGUUUGAAGGGUCUUGUAUAACACCGAAUGAUAUCUUGUCGCCGCGAUACCGAAGCGCGAGUUGUAUGUAAUCAGCAGUAUUAGCCCCUGUCGUGAUACGGUAAUUUCCUGAAUUGUCAAACGCGCUGACAGUUUGAUACUGUUACUGGCGCGUAACGCGUAGAUAACUGAACAUGCAGUAUCGCGUAAUGGAAAAAGCGUCGCUGUCAAAACUGCCGUUUGCGUAAUCGCAAUAGUGAUAACAACAUUAUCUAAUUUCAUUAUAAUUCUAUUACUAAUUUUGAUUUGAACUUUCUAUAAAUUCAGAGAAAUAUGAUAACUAAACACAACAGUUUAUUUUUGUAUAUAAUUAUUAAUAAUAUAAAACAAUUAUCUGUACUCUCCAAAACGGAAUCAGUGUAUUGUUACUGAAAGACAGUAAUUAAUCGAAUUAUAAGUAUAGCAUUGUAAAGAUUUCACUGAAAGAAUUAGUAAUAUCAGUAAAAUAUAUAAAAUAGAUAAAUUGGAAAAAAUUUAGGCUCAGAAAAAUUAAGAACACAGCGUAUAACAAUGUUAAAUUAGAGCCAACAUUGAAUGUUUGCAUGUGCCUAAAAAUGUAUUACUUAAAUUAAAAAAAAGUUUAAAUUCUAUAUUUUAGACUAUAUUCAACAUAAUAAAUUACAGAUAAUGAAAUCGAUCACGUAUUACAAAUGAUAAAAUUAAAUGUUACACAUAGAUUACUUGUCAUCACACCGACAGAUGCAAAAGUGAGUGAUACAAGAGAAAGUCAAACAAGAAAAAUAAAAUAAAAGUGCAAAUUGUUAUUGUGUUUAUACUAAAGAUUUGUGAAAUAUAUUAAUAUAGAUUCUUAAUAAAAUUCUUUUGCCUUUCCAUUAGUGAUAUUUUUUACUGGUUAAAUUUAAACAAGUACUUAUACAUUACCAUACCAAUUUAACGUAUUAAUUAAAGAAAUAAUAUAAAUAUACACAUGUGUGUAUCGCUCAUAUAAAUAUCUCUGUGUAAUAAACAAGAAAACGAAAAAAUGGCAUGAGACUCGUACGAGACGAUCAGUAUUGUGACAUCUAUUUAAUAUUAGAGGAACGAGGGUAGAUAGAAGUCGCUAUACAAGACAGAUUUUAAUCCUUGCCGUACCAAAGGAAGAAAAGGAACGAUGCUGAAUUGACUUGAAGUCUCUUCGGGCAAGAUGCUUAAUUCCACCUCGUUCUUCUGUAACUACUCUUUGUGAUGUGUGGAUUUUCAAUCACACUUAUGCAAUUUGGAAAUGUCAGUCUGUAAAACGCGCAAAAGUAAUUCCGAGUCUGCAGCAGAAAGGAUUCGAGAUGGUGCGUGAUACGAAGAACAAGGAUUCUAAGGAAUAUCCCGAAGGAGAAUCAAACAGGAUUUUGUCGUCUCGAAAUCGUAUAUCAUUUCAACCGCGACGUCUGUAUCGCCGUCUGUACUGUAGCGACCUGGCGAUAAGCAUCGUUAGAUCCUAGGUUUAUCCAGGCGCGACUAAUUAUGCGAAUAUCACGCAAACCUCCACUAACGAAAACGGAUCAUUAGUGAGAACAUCGAUAUUUUAAUCCACGAUUGCUUCCAAUUAUACGGAAGAUCCCUCUUAUUAAAAGCAGGCAGUGUGCCUGCAUAUAUUCCAGUUACCGUCACAAUAAAAUUAAUUACAUAUCAACUUAAUCGCGAGACUGAGCCAGAGAUGUGUUAGCAUUUACAUUCUAUUGGACACUAAUCAAACCAGAACGUAUCGAUUACUGUGUAUCCAGUGCACCUUCCAUCCACUGAAUAUAUGUACAGAUAUAACGCUUUAUAUACAAAGUUGUCAAUACGUUACACAAUCAAACUUUGUAAGGAUAUAUCUUUUCCCUUUACAACUUGAAAAUAACUAAAAAUAGAGAUUUUUUAAAACAAAUUUAAAGCGUAAAAAAUGUACUAAUCAAUUUACAAUAUAA